AUGGGUUUUUCGGAAGAUAUUGGCGGGAGAGAUUGCUGAAGAAGAAUGAGGUGCUGAAUUCCUGUCUGUCUCUGUUGUUGGGUGGAGGUCCGCUUCAAUUGAAAGGUUGGAAUAUUAUCAUCAGUUCGUCUAUCUUUAUAAUAAUGAUAAAUACUUUAUUAUGUGAUGGGCUAUUGAAUAUUGAUAGAUGAUAAUUGAGGCAAAUGUCGUCGGUUUCAUUACUAUCCAGUCCAUUCCUC
rnacentral:lncRNA from 1 species